rnacentral:rRNA from 1 species
AUUGAACGCUGGCGGCAUGCCUUACACAUGCAAGUCGAACGGUAACAGGUCUUCGGAUGCUGACGAGUGGCGAACGGGUGAGUAAUACAUCGGAACGUGCCUAGUAGUGGGGGAUAACUACUCGAAAGAGUGGCUAAUACCGCAUGAGAUCUACGGGUGAAAGCAGGGGAUCGCAAGACCUUGUGCUACUAGAGCGGCCGAUGGCAGAUUAGGUAGUUGGUGGGAUAAAAGCUUACCAAGCCGACGAUCUGUAGCUGGUCUGAGAGGACGAUCAGCCACACUGGGACUGAGACACGGCCCAGACUCCUACGGGAGGCAGCAGUGGGGAAUUUUGGACAAUGGGCGCAAGCCUGAUCCAGCAAUGCCGCGUGCAGGAUGAAGGCCUUCGGGUUGUAAACUGCUUUUGUACGGAACGAAAAGCCCUGGGUUAAUACCCUGGGGUCAUGACGGUACCGUAAGAAUAAGCACCGGCUAACUCCGUGCCAGCCGCCGCGGUAAAAC